AACGUAGGACACAAGCGUUAUCCGGAGUUACUGGGCGUAAAGGGCGUGUAGGCGGAAGGAUAAGUCUACUCUGAAAGCUCCUGGCUAAACUGGGAGAGGCGAGUGGAGACUGUUUUUUCUAGAGUGAGGGAAGAGGAAAGUGGAAUUCCGCGUGUAGUGGUGAAAUGCGUAGAGAUGCGGAGGAACACCAGUGGCGAAAGC
rnacentral:rRNA from 1 species